ACUGCUAAACAAUGUCUAUCCACAUCUCAACAAAGUAACAAUACAGUCUGUGUAUGACUACUGCAAAUCCUUUCUCACAGAACAGAACUUAUCCACAGGAUCUUCCUGUACAUUAAACACAACUGGAACAGAGGAGUGGAUUACAAAAAAUUUGGGUGACUUUGUUUCUGAUGUGAAGAUCUCCGAACUCCUAACAUUGUAUUCGUAUCUUGAUGUGAAUGUUUGGUUCCGUCUGUUAACGCCAGAAGAAUUUGCAGUGGUUCUACUCAAAGAAAACGUUCUC